GACGAACGCUGGCGGCGUGCUUAACACAUGCAAGUCGAACGGAAAGGCCCUGCUUUUGUGGGGUGCUCGAGUGGCGAACGGGUGAGUAACACGUGAGUAACCUGCCCCUGACUUUGGGAUAACUUCAGGAAACUGCGGCUAAUACCGGAUAGGAUCUCCUGCUGCAUGUUGGGGGUUGGAAAGUUUCGGCGGUUGGGGCUGGACUCGCGGCUUAUCAGCUUGUUGGUGGGGUAGUGGCUUACCCAGGCUUUGAAGGGUAGCCGGCCUGAGCGGGUGACCGGCCACAUUGGGACUGAGGGAAGGCCCAGACUGCGACGGGAGGCAGCAGUGGGGAAUAUUGCACAAUGGGCGGAAGCCUGAUGCAGCAACUCCGCGUGCGGGAUGACGGUCUUCGGGUGGUAAACCGCUUUCGCCUGUGACGAAGCGUGAGUGACGGUAAUGGGUAAAGAAGCACCGGCUAACUACGUG
rnacentral:rRNA from 1 species